rnacentral:lncRNA from 1 species
CUGGGAUAGGUGGAGUGCUUCCUCGGAAGGAAGAAAUUCCGGGGUUUAAUCUCCAGUCUGACUGCAUUAACUGGGCAUGGUAACAGACACCUGUAAUCCCAGCACUCAAGAGGCAGAGCAGGAGGAAUUCAGUCAGUCCUGGCUACAUAAGGAGUAUGAGAGCAGUUUUGGCUACAUGAGACCCCAUUUAAGAGACGUUGUGAAGUUACUUGAGGUUGAGGCUCCCUUUACUUGUGAGAUUGGGUGGACAAGGAAAGUUCAGGGUCCCAGUGGGAAAAGCAGAAACUGUCGGAAGAGGGGAGGCAUGGAGCCUAUGUAUGUAAAGAUGAAGAGGGUGGCUAGGGUGCGUGGUCAGAGAGGUUAAACAGGAUAUGAGCAGGAUAGGCAUGAGAUGGGCUGGGGCUCAGCAGUCUCUAAGUCCCUUAGAAAGGAGGGUAGAGGGGCGAAAGCUUGGAGCUGGAGAUGCCAGUGAGAAAGAUGAAUUCUCACUCGUGGCUGAGUGUGCUAUGUGGGAGACACAAGAGACAGAGCGGCUAGAAUGGCAUAGGCUGCUGUGGCCAGGACAACGUGAAAGGAAGGGGUUCCCCCAGGCCCGGUCGUUCCCACAGACGUCCCAGGGCGCGUUCCCGCGGGCCCCGCGGUCGCUAGGCUGCAGGCUGGGGCCCUGGCCCUCUCAGCGGGGCUGGCAGAGAGCGGUGCAGACGGCAGCGCAUGGCGGC